GGCAAAGGAGGAUAUGUGCAUUUUCACUGGAUCUUGUUGUUUGGGCACCUGAGACAAGCUGGCAGUCACUAAAUCUCAGCGAUCACUCAAUGUGUGCCAGGCAUUCGCACACAAUAUCACUAACACCCAUGACAGUCCUUCAAGAGAGGUUCUGCUGUCUGAGAGAUUAUGUGACACGCCUAAGGUCACAGGAUCAGCAAAUACUAGGGCUGAGAUUUAAACCCAGAACUGUCUACUGCCAAAGCUUUUGCGCUCUCCCUCGUGCCACGUUGCUUCUCAUUUUGGGCUUGGUCUCCACUUCCCAGUCCUUGAAGGAGUUCUCCAGGUCUGCCCCAUUAGCACUGCAUCUCAGAAGGAAGCUGCAGCUGCGCCGCCAAUCUCCCGGUGGUAGGUGCUUAAUAAACAUUAUGAAGUGCAUGAACAAAUGAAUAGCCCCUGAUGGACAGACAUGCUUGAGAAACACUAUUUUUCACAUUCCUAUCUACACUCAAGAUUUUACCUAUGAUAGCAGGCUGAAGAUUCCCAGGAUCUUACAUCCUAGCAGCCCUAACAGUUCAGCUGAGCUGAAAGGAUGAGGAGGAAGCCCUUGGCGAUGGAACUUCUAGACAAGCCAAGGCCUGCCUGGCAGAGCUGGGAGCAGAUUGAGGAAGACACCACUGCCCCUCCACCCACCCCGCCGCCGCCUUCAUGUUGCCUUGAUCUUCUAUCCUCAGCUGACAUUUUUGUCGCUCAUCUCUGAUUGAAGAAACCUCAGUUUCUUAUUUGAUCUUUCCUGGACAACCGUUUAAUAGGCAGCAAGAAAAAGAGAUGAGAGAAAGUGAUUUUUCAUCCCUGACUUGACAUGAUAUUUUCCUUUUAACAAUUUAUCCAUACCUCUCCUCUCAGUUUCUCUCCUUUCAUAUACUCACAUACUAUCUGCCUCUCUGCAUAGCAAAGCAACCUUUUGAGCAGUUCUCUAAGAAGAUUCUAAAAAGCAAGGAAAAAGCAGGAUCACAAUAGCUCCUUCCCCAGUUCAAUUCAGCAAGCUUUUCUGAGCACCAGUCCAGAUGCAAGGCACAAUGAGAGGCAAGAUGAAGAAUGGGGGUUACUCUAUCCUCAUCGGACCAAUUUAGAAUCCAGUACAUGCACAUACAGGAAAAAUCCAAUGUGUUCAUCAUCUGUGUGUUCCAUAAUCAUUUACUGAGCACCUUUUAUCAAAAAGAGAAACCAUUUUUAAAGUAAACUGGAUUCUCUAUUAUAACAACAGUGAAGUUUGGCAAAAUGUUUUCCUCAUGUGAAGGCUUGAAUUUAAAGAAUUUUAAUUUAUGUUCAUUAUGAUUCAAUCCAACAUUUGUCUUUUUGUAUGUAUUAGAUCUUGCGAGGGACACAAAGAUAAUCAAGUUGUGGAUCUAGGUCUUAAGACGUAUAAAAUUGAGUGGGUCUAUGUCUUCCAAUACACAAAGUCAAGUGGAGAGACAUAAAUAACACUAACUUCAGUGCAAUGUAUACUAAAGGAUACGGAAUGACUUAUUCAGCAGCUACUAUGUGCCUGGUGCUUUACCCAUAUGAUUAAUAAAGCAUCUUUUGGUGAUAUUUACUGUUCAUGUAAUCUAUGGUCUAAGCCUGGUGACAUGGUCUUGAGAGGGAUACAAACAUGUAAUUACAAUGUAACAGGAAGUAGUGACAGGGAAAAUAAGAGAGAAUAGCCGGGACAUCUAAUCUGAUUUGGCAAAUCAAAGAAGGCUUCCAGGAAGAAGUGACUUCUGAGCUGAGUCCUGAAGAAUGAGUCAUCCAAAUAAAUCAGAGGAGGAGAUUGUUUUUGGCAGCAAAAAUAACAUGCACAAAGUCCCAAAGGCAGCGGGGAGACUUAUGUUCCUCAUCCAAUAAGAGAGGAAGCUGAGGUUCCAAUGAGUUAUUUAACUUACCAAAGAUCACACAGCUGGUGAUUGACCGAAGUUGGAUUUGGAUCUGGCGAGGCCUGCCUCAGGAUCAGCAAGUGCCAGCAGCUCAGCUCAGCAUCCUAGUGGACCAAGCAGCCCAGGGACUCUGAUGAGAGAGCAUCGCUCCUCAACUCAAAGGCAACUUCAGAAGGAUGCUGUCCUAAAACCAGCCCAGGCCUUGCAAGAAAAAUGACAAAGAGCAAGUUGAAAUGAGUUUUAGGGAUGAGCACUUUGUUGGAAAUGAAGAAUCCAUUUAAAAAAAAAAACCAUAAAUGUGAAAAAGACACAAUAAUUAAGACAGUAGUGAUCUAUUUUGGGAGCGAAGUGCUUUCAUAUAGAGCAUCACAUUUCACUUCCUCAACAACCUGGUGAGACAGACCUUAUUUCCAUUUCACAGAUGAAGUGAGGCUGGUGAUGGUAUGUGAAUCUCCCAAGAGUGCCCAAGUAUAUAAUGGAGCUGGCAUCAGACUUCCAGUGUUGCAUUUCCUAAAUCUACUGUGUACUUCUUUGAACCAAGCUGCCUGCCUCCAGAGGAACGGAAGUGUGCUGAGACCAAAACAUAACUCAGAGAAGGAAAGGGGACAGAAAAGUAACCCCCACCACUGAAACCCAUGGAAGCAAUAGUGUGUAAUUAUUGGCUAAUGACCAACUCACAGGUAAACUGUGUCUUAGCUCCCUUGGGUAAGAAAAGGAAGAUGUGCCUUCCAGCACCUUUGCUGGCUGCAAUUUUAUGUGGGAGAUGUUGAUUGGAAGGCCUACAAAGAUCCUCCUGUGUGGGGAGCUUUUUUCAAAGAAUGUUAAAGUAUCAUAAUUGCUUGGAUCUCCUGAGAAUUGCCUGUCUCACAGUCUCAUUUAUUACAAUUUCCAAAUAACUGAAAAAUGUUCCUUCCUUUGUGAUAGUCUGAAAAUUGAACGAACUGAAAGGACCCUCUUCUCCACCCAUGACUGCAACCCACAACUAGGUUUUCUUACAAAGCACAAAGAAAGAAAGAAGAAAGGGCAUCUUUCCUUUCCAACAGGGAAAAAAAAUUGUGAGAUGAUAUGAAAUUACAUUGUUACUAUUUUAAACCUCACUAUAAAUCCAUGUAUCUGCUGCAUUAGCUUACAGUUGGUAUACACGUGGUUGAGCUAAUCUGAGAGUGUCUCAUUAUUCUACAUACGAGCAAAAAGAACAGACUUAGUCAGGCCUUUAACCAGCAGGGAGAGCUUGAGUGAGUAAUGCAACCCUUGCUGGUCCCUGUCAUGCCUGCUUCCCAGGCAUGUUGACACAUAAACAAGUGCUUUGAAAUCUAUAAACCAUCACAUCAGUGUAAAUUAUUAUUAUCACUGUGGUUAAAAACAACAACAGAUCUCAAAAAAAAAAAAACAGCCCCUCUCCCUCUCCCUCUCCCUCUCCCUCUCCCCACGGUCUCCCUCUCCCUCUCCCUCUCCCCAUGGUCUCCCUCUCCCUCUCUUUCCAUGGUCUCCCUCUGAUGCCGAGCCGAAGCUGGACUGUACUGCUGCCAUCUAGGCUCACUGCAAUCUCCCUGCCUGAUUCUCCUGCCUCAGCCUGCCGAGUGCCUGCGAUUGCAGGCGCGCGCCACCACGCCUGACAGGUUUUCGUAUUUUUUUGGUGGAG
rnacentral:lncRNA from 1 species